AUGGAGGAUUUCGUCGCAUGGAAUGAUACACGCUCAGGAUCAUUUACAGUAAGAUCGGCCUAUCAUGUUGAGUUUGAGCAUCAAUAUGGACGCCAUUGGCAGCACCCGGAUGGGCAGGGAAGCACCAGUAUAAACCCCAUCUGGAAACUAAUAUGGAGCCUGGCUAUCCCUGGCAAAGUAAAGCACUUUGUUUGGAAAUGUCUAAAAGGUGUACUGCCCUGUUUGGGUAUUCUUGCUGGGCGUCACAUCCCUACGUCCGCACAGUGUCCGGUUUGUAAGAUUGGGUUAGAGGACAUCCAACAUUGCCUCUUCAGUUGCCAGAGAGCGAUGAAAAUCUGGGAAGAACUGGGACUAUCAGAAGACAUCAAGAAAGCUAUCGCCGAAGACCGGUCGGGUUCGAUAACGAUGGAAAUACUGCAAAGAGCCCAAGAUAGUGCGGACGGAUUGCCAAAAGCAGAAUUAUUUGCAGUUGCAGCGUGGUAUAUUUGGUGGCAGAGAAGACAGCUUGUCAAGGGGGAAAGUAUAACGUCCCCGGAGCGUACUGCUACUACUAUCAAGUGGGCGCGAUUGCUCGAGAUGACAGAGGAGAGUUCGUUGCAGCCGCGGCAUGGUUCAUUCCACAUGUGA
rnacentral:rRNA from 1 species